rnacentral:rRNA from 1 species
CCCUUAGAUGUUCUGGGCCGCACGCGUGCUACACUGAGUGGAUCAGCGGGUCAGGUUGCGCGAAAGUGUUUCCUAAUCUUGAAAUCCGCUCGUGAUGGGGAUUGACGGUUGCAAUUUUCCGCCAUGAACGAGGAAUACCUUGUAAGCGCGGGUCAUCAUCCCGCGCUGAAUACGUCCCUGCCCUUUGUACACACCGCCCGUCGCUCCUACCGAUUGAGUGGUCCGGUGAGGCUUUGGGAUCUGAGCGGAAAGAGCGUUUCGCUGUUUCUGCUCGGAAAACUCAGUCGAACCUUAUCAUUUAGAGGAAGGAGAAGUAGUAACA